AGAGUUUGAUCCUGGCUCAGAGCGAACGCUGGCGGCGUGCUUAACACAUGCAAGUCGAGUGCACAGCUUUCUGUAGCAAUACAGGAGGUGGGCGCACGGCGAACGGGUGCGUAACACGUGGGCAACCUGCCCUCCUGUGUGGAAUACCCCCGCGAAAGCGGGACUAAUACCGCAUACCCUUCCUGCUGCUUCGGCAACGGGACGGAAAGCCGCAAGGCGCAGGAAGUGGGGCCCGCGGCCGAUUAGCUAGUUGGUGAGGUAACGGCUCACCAAGGCAAUGAUCGGUAGCCGGUCUGAGAGGAUGAUCGGCCACACUGGAACUGAGACACGGUCCAGACUCCUACGGGAGGCAGCAGUGGGGAAUCUUGCGCAAUGGGCGAAAGCCUGACGCAGCAACGCCGCGUGGGGGAUGAAGCUUUUCGGAGUGUAAACCCCUUUCGACCCGGAAGAAAGCCCGCAAGGGAUUGACGGUACGGGUAGAAGAAGCCCCGGCUAACUACGUGCCAGCAGCCGCGGUAAAACGUAGGGGGCCAGCGUUGCUCGGAAUAACUGGGCGUAAAGGGUCUGUAGGCGGUGCGGCAAGUCGGAAGUGAAAUCCCAGAGCUUAACUCUGGGACUGCUCCCGAAACUGCCGUGCUCGAGUGCGAGAGAGGCGAGUGGAAUUGCAGUGUAGCGGUGAAAUGCGUAGAUAUCUGCAGGACACCCGAGGCGAAAGCGGCUCGCUGGAUCGCAACUGACGCUGAGAGACGAAAGCUAGGGGGAGCAAACAGGAUUAGAUACCUGGUAGUCCUAGCCCUAAACGAUCAGACUGGGCGUGGGUCCCGUACGGGGCUCGGUGCCGUAGCUACGCGUUAAGUCCUGCCGCCUGGGGAGUACCGUCGGCAAGGCUGA
rnacentral:rRNA from 1 species